UUUUUAUGAACUUUAAUAUAGUAUCUACAUUUAGAUAAGUAAAGCACAUCUCAAAUACUUUUGCAAGAAAAUAUCUCACAUCCUCUCGACCUCUCCCACUAACUCUACAACCUACUACCGCCAUCGCCUACUAACGUUGCUACUUACCGCCGCUGUCACCUCCCUCCACUCUCCACUUCUUUACUACCGCUUUAGACCGCCAGAAAACUCACCAACCGCCUCCAGCCUCUCAGAUCUGAAGUUUUCUAGUGACUUCAUCUUCUCCAGUUCAGAUGUACAAUCUCUAACGAUUAUCACCAUCGUCUAUGUCUGUCCUCUAUCGGUUCUCCAGUAAACUGAUGGCACCAACGACACCAAACAACCACCAGGUAUGUACCUAUUGUUGGUAGCUACUACCAUCACCAUCGAAUUGCAAGUAUCAUCGCCAAAACACCAGAUUUGACCUUCUACACCUUUAGAUCUGUGAUUUGUGCUUUUUCUCCGGAUCUCCGAUGUACAUAUUUGAUGAAGCACGAGAAAAACUAUCUGAUCCGCUUCUAUCUGACGAAGCAUAAAGCUCUUUGUCACCUCCAAAUGUUUGUCCUCCUCCAUAUCUACUUUUUUCUUCAGAGGACCACUAGAUAUUGCCUUUAUCUUCAUUCACACGAUAUCUGAUCAGAUCUGAUGUGGAUCUGAGCAUUUGGUGUUAUUUUACAAAUGUUUUUCUUUCUAUUUCAUCAUUUUGUCGUUGGAUCUACAUCAGAUAUGUUCUCCUACCGUAGGUGUCGUCGUCAAAGCAUCACAAAUCACAAUCGUAGUCAUAAUCGUAACCUACAAGAUCUGUUAUGCACCACCUCCUCAUCAUCUCUAACUCGUCUCCAUCUUUUUCUCUCUUAUCUUUGGUUGAAGCACCACCAAAUCGACAUCAGAUCUGAUGUUUUGGUGCAUUUUCAAGUAAAAUCUGGUGUUUGUUUUAUAUGGUGUAUCGGUGGUUGGUGGUGGUUCCACUACCGCAUCAGAUAUGGUCUCUAAUGAUGAUGUUUACAAAAGGAAGUUCUAAAAAAAGACACACACAAGGUGUUUGAUGAAACGCCUGAAUGAAAUUUGGUAAGUUAUUAAGUUGUGAAUGCAUACUUUGUGUGAAUGUCUCUGUAUAUUUGUUGUGUAUUAAACUGGGAGUUAAUGAAAUGCCGCAAUAAAUUCAUAAUUUUGUGUAUUAAAUUGUAAAUUUAUAUAAAGUUGUGAAUUGUGUGUAUUAAGUUGUGAUAUUUGUGUUUAAUCGUGUAUUAAAUGCAUUAAACUGUGAAUUUUUUGUUAAAA